UACGUAGGUGGCAAGCGUUGUCCGGAAUUAUUGGGCGUAAAGCGCGCGCAGGCGGCUUUCUAAGUCCAUCUUAAAAGUGCGGGGCUUAACCCCGUGAUGGGAUGGAAACUGGGAAGCUGGAGUAUCGGAGAGGAAAGUGGAAUUCCUAGUGUAGCGGUGAAAUGCAUAGAGAUUAGGAAGAACACCGGUGGCGAAGGCGACUUUCUGGACGACAACUGACGCUGAGGCGCGAAAGCGUGGGGAGCAAACAGG
rnacentral:rRNA from 1 species